CGCAGUUCAGGGUUGGCUGAAACUGCGUCACGUGACAUUAGCAGCCAUUGUGGGCCCAAGCGUUACGUGUAAUGCUUAGGAAGUGCUAUGUAUUUUCGAAGUUUUACGUAGAGUAAUGCCUCAGUGCUGUGCUGUUGGCUGUUCGUUUCGAGGCGAAAAGGGAGGAAAACUGUACAUUAUUCCUUCCGAAGGGAGAGAUGCAACAAGAAGGAGAAUAUGGCUGAUGAAAAUCAACAGAGCCAACUGGCAGCCCACAAGACACUCUCGCUUGUGUGCGAAUCACUUCACUCGAGACCAGUUUGAAGCCAACAGAGCUGAUGGACUGGUAAAGCUUAAACCAAAUGCAGUGCCAAGUAUUUUUUGUCAUCAUAACCACCCAGUGGUAUGUAAUGCUGCUGCUUAGAGGAAACCUGUUGGCCUACUAGAGAAACAUACGGAGGAUACAGGUUUUUGGCAGUGAGAGUCCAUCUGCCUCUCAGGGAGGAAAAUAAAAGAUAUCAGGGUGUAGUGACACAAGGCAGUAGAAGCAUGGCCAUGAGAAAAUUAGUGCAGAAACUGUGACUUCCAAAAUCACUUUUUAGAAAAUGAUUUGUAAAUUUGACAUUCAAAUUUAUUUUGGUUGUGCAAGACACAAAAUGUGUGUUAAUAUUUUCUUUUCAAAUGGUCUCAUUUUUGUUUUACUGAUAGUGAUUUUUAUAAUAUUUAUGUUCUAUGUUUCUUUUUCCAAGUGUGGAGUGUUUUCAUUAUCUCAUGUAAUAUUUGUUACAUUUUACAAGUAGACUAUGUCCCUGUCAAGGGCUCAGAAUGGUGCAUGUAUAUAUAAAACAUCCCUCAACCUA